ACUCCUACGGGAGGCAGCAGUAGGGAAUAUUGGUCAAUGGGCGAAAGCCUGAACCAGCCAUGCCGCGUGUCAGAUGAAGGUCCUCUGGAUUGUAAAUGACUUUUCUACGGGAAGAAUGAGCCGUCUGCGGACGGAAGUUGACGGUACCGUAGGAAUAAGCACCGGCUAACUACGUGCCAGCAGCCGCGGUAAUACGUAGGGGUGCAAGCGUUGUCCGGAUUUACUGGGGUUUAAAGGGUACGUAGGCGGUUGUGCCAAGUCUGGGGUGAAAGUUUGCAGCUCAACUGUAAAAUUGCCUUGGAUACUGGUCGGCUAGAGUAGUGGAGCGGUGGCUGGAAUUUAUAGUGUAGCGGUGAAAUGCUUAGAUACUAUGAGGAACACCAAUUGCGAAGGCAGGUCACUGGUCACUAACUGACGCUGAGGUACGAAAGUGUGGGGAUCAAACAGGAUUAGAUACCCUGGUAGGCUAGCG
rnacentral:rRNA from 1 species